GAUCCUUGGCCCAGUUUGUGCUGACUCAGCCGCCCUCAGCAUCCGCGUCUCCUGGGCAAACCGUUACGAUCUCCUGUGCCAGGAGCAGCGGCAGCAUCGGUAGCUACUAUGUACAAUGGUACCAACAGAAGCCUGGCAGUGCCCCAAAGCUUAUUAUAUACGAGUGGAACAAGAGACCCUCUGGCAUCUCCGACCGAUUCUCCGGCUCUACAGACACCUCCGCCAAUGCUGCCUCCUUAACCAUCUCUGGGGUCCAAGCCGACGAUGAGGCUGAUUAUUACUGUGAAUCAAAUGACGGAGGCUACAAUCCCACA